GGGGUUUUAGCUCAGAUGGUAGAGCGCUCGUUUAGCAUGCGAGAGGUACUGGGUUCGAUACACAGGAUCUCCA